rnacentral:rRNA from 1 species
CCUACGGGAGGCAGCAGUGAGGAAUAUUGGUCAAUGGACGAGAGUCUGAACCAGCCAAGUAGCGUGAAGGAUGACUGCCCUAUGGGUUGUAAACUUCUUUUAUAUGGGAAUAAAACGUUCCACGUGUGGGAUUUUGUAUGUACCAUAUGAAUAAGGACCGGCUAACUCCGUGCCAGCAGCCGCGGUAAUACGGAGGAUCCGAGAGUUAUCCGGAUUUAUUGGGUUUAAAGGGAGCGUAGGUGGAUUGUUAAGUCAGUUGUGAAAGUUUGCGGCUCAACCGUAAAAUUGCAGUUGAAACUGGCAGUCGUGAGUACAGUAGAGGUGGGCGGAAUUCGUGGUGUAGCGGUGAAAUGCUUAGAUAUCACGAAGAACUCCGAUUGCGAAGGCAGCUCACUGGACUGCAACUGACACUGAGGCUCGAAAGUGUGGGUAUCAAACAGGAUUAGAUACCCCUGUAGUC